rnacentral:misc_RNA from 1 species
AAGUCGUAACAAGGUUUCCGUAGGUGAACCUGCGGAAGGAUCAUUAUCACAAAUGAUUUUAACUCUCUUAAUCCAGAGUUAACCUCUUCUUAAACCAAUCUAACAAAAUGUGAAAUCGUUUUAUAUAUAUAUUUAUAUUCUCUUGCGAGAAUAUAUAUAUAUGUAUAUUAUUAACCAAUUGAACCUUUUUCUAUAUUGUUAUUUUAAUUAAAUUUAGUACUGAACUAUAUAUAUUGUUAUUCAAUAACAAUAUUAUAAUACAUUACGAAACAAUUUAAAUAAAACAACUCUUAGCAACGGAUAUCUUGGUUCUC